rnacentral:rRNA from 1 species
AAUAGAUACCCUGGUAGUCCACGCCGUAAACGAUGAGUGCUAAGUGUUAGGGGUUUCCGCCCCUUAGUGCUGCAGCUAACGCAUUAAGCACUCCGCCUGGGGAGUACGGUCGCAAGACUGAAACUCAAAGGAAUUGACGGGGGCCCGCACAAGCGGUGGAGCAUGUGGUUUAAUUCGAAGCAACGCGAAGAACCUUACCAGGUCUUGACAUCCCACUGACCGCUAUGGAGACAUAGUUUUCCCUUCGGGGACAGUGGUGACAGGUGGUGCAUGGUUGUCGUCAGCUCGUGUCGUGAGAUGUUGGGUUAAGUCCCGCAACGAGCGCAACCCUUGAUCUUAGUUGCCAUCAUUUAGUUGGGCACUCUAAGGUGACUGCCGGUGACAAACCGGAGGAAGGUGGGGAGUGACGUCAAAUCAUCAUGCCCUUAUGACCUGGGCUACACACGUGCUACAAUGGACGGUAACGAAACGGUUGCCAACCCGCGGAGGGGGAGGCUAAUCCGAAUAAAACCGUUACUCAGUUCGGAUUGUAGGCUGCAACUCGCCUACA